AUUGCACUCUUCCCGGCCUAUU
rnacentral:miRNA from 1 species